GCAUAUUUUUCUAGGAGCUCAGAAACUUACAUUAAGAUUGGGAUCUUUGCCCAGUGGCAGCCUACAAAGGAGAACUGAUGAUAAAUAAUUUGGCCAGUGCUUGCAGAAGUCUGUUCUAGCCUCAGGGAUUCUCACACAUACUUCUGUUGACAGAGUUCCUGUGUAGCAAGCAAGCUGAAAUGCCUUUUGUUAAAUACCUGUUCAUGUCCCUUUCUGUCCUGCCCCAACAUUUGGAAGAUCUCUUCAGCUGCUGAGUUCCUGCUGUUGCACUCCUGGAAAAAUUGGAUUGGGGGUUGUCCUACAGAGCAGGCACAAGGAAGUCUCAGAUACUUUCCCUGAUUCUCCAGAAAACAGUAAUGAUAUAAACUUCCAGGAAACAGAGGAAUAACUCUCAGCAUAAGGAAUUAUGAUUCAUAGGGUAUCUAGAAACGAAACGGAGCUUGGUCUCUUCUAACAGAAACACUUGUAGAAAUGGAAGCUCAGCUCUUUGAUCAGGAAGAGGAUCCCACACCUGCUGUAAUUGCCAAGGCACUUAAGAUGUCAAAGAUAAAGGAUGAAGCAAAAAAGAAAAUCCAAUAAUAUUCACAGGAAACUAAUUCAACUUCUUCCUAUGUGUCUCAUUUGAUAUACAAUGAGACAUCUUCUGGACUUAGCAUGGUUGUUGGACACUUUUCUAUUGAUGAACAUCAUGAGGAAAAUCAACUGGAUGAAGAAUUAAUGCAUUCCUCAGAUUACAAACCAACAGAUAAUCUAAAUAAGCCUUCCCACCUCCUUUCCAGACCACAUUUAAAUAAAACAGCAGGCAAAGCUCAUGAAACCACUCUCUUGAAUUUUAAGCUAAAAGCUAUUGCUUGUUUAGAUUUUAAAUGCCCAUCUCACAGAACUAACCCCAAUUUUCAUUUUGGUGAAGCAACACAUUUAGAAGCAUCUUCAUCAGAAGAUGAUGACAUUUUCACAGAGCUACCAAUGAGUGAGAAAGUUUUGGAAAACCUGCACAAAAUGUACAUUUCUCAAACAAAACAAAAUAGAUUCGGCCACAUUGCUAAUACAGAUGUCUUCCCUGUUAUGGUUGACAACAAUCCUGAUGAGAAGAGAUGGAAUGAACACAAAAUGUCUCUGCAGGUAAGAGGAGACAUUUUCAUGUUAUAAAAAUGGGGGGUGGGUUAUAUUUAUUCUAUUUUAGUUAUUGUGUGUACAAUUCAGAUGUGUAAAUUGCCAUAGUCAUCAUGGGCCAGAGUAACAAGAGCCCUUUUCACACGUCUUACCGGGCGCGCAGAAUCGUGCAAAACUCCCAGAACGACGGUGUC